CUACGGAGGGUGCAAGCGUUAUUCGGAAUCACUGGGCGUAAAGGACGCGUAGGCGGGUUGGCAAGUCAGAUGUGAAAUCCUACAGCUUAACUGUAGAACUGCAUUUGAAACUGCUAACCUAGAGUAUGGGAGGGGGAGAUGGAAUUAGUGGUGUAGGGGUAAAAUCCGUAGAUAUCACUAGGAAUACCGAAAGCGAAGGCGAUCUCCUGGAACAUAACUGACGCUGAGGCGUGAAAGCGUGGGGAGCAAACAGGAUUAGAAACCCUAGUAGUCC
rnacentral:rRNA from 1 species